AUAAAGGUUUUAAUCCUUUUCUUUUUA
rnacentral:tRNA from 2 species